CUCGAUUUUGGCCAAAAAUUGGAUUUCGUUUAAAUUACAUCUUAUCGACCCCAAAUUUCACGGAGAUCACGAAAAUUGUGUUUAUUUCGACGGUAGCUCAAUGGAUAAGGCGCUAUCGCUUACUUCCGGUACACUUCCGGAAAAUUUGCACAAAACUAGCAUGUGAGCUUUGUUCCCUGUAAUGCUCUCAAGACUUCAAGCUAGAUUUAAUCAAAUUAAAGUACGCUGUUCUAGCUCAAGUUGUGUCACAAAACUAACUACGUUUUUGGGACUUUUCCGAGUUUCAUAGGUGCCCAAUAGAUGGCAAGAGUCCUCGUUUUUCAUGUAAUGGCGGAUUGUUGUGUUGUUAAAAGUUCCUAUUUUUCCACGAAAUUACUGAUUAAUUCAUAAGUAAAUUCAAGUUUAUUUCUGUGUAACUUGUUUGAUUUAUCAUCCUGUGUGUGUGUUUGAUGCUUUGAUCACAUUUGAAAUGAAACAAGAGGAAGGAACGCGAAAGGAAGCAUCACCCUUCAAGUAGCGAUCAACAACCCUUUCAUAAUCGACUUUCUGCUGAUUGCAUGAUUUGCAUCAUCCAGUUAAUACAGAUCACUAACUCCAGUGUGACUUGUAUUGUUUUUUUCCGAGCAUGUUUUUCUACAAAUGUUGCAUUGACAGACAAAGAAGGCUAUGGGAAACAUGAGCAAGCCCAUGGGUAAUCUUCAGGUUUAUUGCAGCAACUUCGGAGAAGUCACAGGAAAAGAUUCAGGGCACAUACCAACAUGUGUUGCAUUGUUCUGAUUGAUUUACUCAAGUAGCAGAUUUAACAACAUGAUUAACAUGCCAAAGUUAGUUGGAAUUCUAAAGACACUGAUAACUACUGCUGCUGCCGCCUUACAGCCAAAGAUAGAAAAAUUACUCUCCUUCUUCCUCCUUCUUCAGACAA